CCUACGGGCGGCAGCAGUGAGGAAUAUUGGUCAAUGGGCUUACGCCUGAACCAGCCAAGUCGCGUGAGGGAAGACUGCCCUAUGGGUUGUAAACCUCUUUUGUCAGGGAGCAACGCCGGCUACGCGUAGCCGGAAUGAGAGUCCCUGAAGAAAAAGCAUCGUCUAAUUCCGUGCCAGCAGCCGCGGUAAUCCGUAGGUGGCACGCGUUGUCCGGAUUUACUGGGUGUAAAGGGCGUGCAGCUGGAGAGACAAGUCAGAUGUGAAAGCCACGGGCUCAACCCGUGAACUGCAUUUGAAACUGGUAGCCUUGAGGGUCGGAGAGGUAAGCGGAAUUCCUGGUGUAGCGGUGAAAUGCGUAGAUAUAAGGAAGAACACCAGUGGCGAAGGCGGAUUACUGGACGAUAACUGACGGUGAGGCGCGAAAGCGUGGGUAGCAAACAGGAUUAGAUACCCUUGUAGUC
rnacentral:rRNA from 1 species